GACGAACGCUGGCGGCGUGCCUAACACAUGCAAGUCGAACGAGGUCCAAGGAAGCUUGCUUCCUGACGACCUAGUGGCGAACGGGUGAGUAACACGUGGGAAACCUGCCUCGGAGUGGGGAAUAACUCGGGGAAACUCGAGCUAAUACCGCAUAUCUUCACAUGAUCGCAUGGUCGAGUGAAGAAAGAAUUUCGCUCUGAGAGGGUCUCGCGGCCUAUCAGCUUGUUGGUGGGGUAAACGGCCCACCAAAGGCAACGACGGGUAGCUGGUUUGAGAGAACGAUCAGCCACACUGGGACUGAGACACGGCCCAGACUCCUACGGGAGGCAGCAGUGGGGAAUCUUGCGCAAUGGGCGAAAGCCUGACGCAGCAACGCCGCGUGCGGGAUGACGGCCUUCGUGGUUGUAAACCGCUUUCAGCAGGGACGAAAAUGACGGUACCUGCAGAAGAAGACCCCGGCUAACUAACGUGCCAGCAGCCGCGGUAAU
rnacentral:rRNA from 1 species